AUCUACUCCACUCUUCUUUCAUUUCCUUUUCUUUCUUCCUCUCUCUACAAAACAAAGUCAUACUCUCCCUCUCCUCCUUUCCAACCGAAUUUUCGGGCCAUCCACCGUGGUGUUUCCGGCCAUCUUUUGUCAAACAAAAUACAUAAUCUACAUACUCUCUUCUUUCUCUAUCUCAUUCUGAAAUUUAUUUUUCGAUCGGAGACAUAUUUUAGUCUCCAAACCGUCACUUUCAUUAUUAGAUCUAGACCACCACAAAUUGUUUCAUGACAAACCACCACCAUAAACAUACUCUCCUUCAUAUUCUCUACAAAACCCACAAAGAAAAACCACGAACCGGUGAAUUUUCUCGGCGACCACCACACCGAAAAACGACCCCACCACCGCGCCGGACAAUGGA
rnacentral:lncRNA from 1 species